UUAUAAGAGACAGCAGUAGCCGCGGGAAUACGGAGGGUGCAAUCGUUAAUCGGAAUUACUGGGCGUAAAGCGCACGCAGGCGGUCUGACAAGUCAGAUGUGAAAUCCCCGGGCUUAACCUGGGAACUGCAUUUGAAACUGUCAGGCUGGAGUCUUGUAGAGGGGGGUAGAAUUCCAGGUGUAGCGGUGAAAUGCGUAGAGAUCUGGAGGAAUACCGGUGGCGAAGGCGGCCCCCUGGACAAAGACUGACGCUCAGGUGCGAAAGCGUGGGGAGCAAACAGGAUUAGAUACCCGCGUAGUCCCUGUCUCUUAUAC
rnacentral:rRNA from 1 species